rnacentral:ncRNA from 1 species
AACUGUUGUUAAGCGCCAGGACUGCGGGACACGCAGUUGACGAGGUGGAGGGAAAUCGAUCCUUCGGCGGAUACCUCCCGGCUUAUGCAUCGAAGCCGUGGAGCCAACGCACAAAUCGAUGAGGUGACUCAUCUGACAAAAGUGUUGGCGCGAUGCUGU